AAAACCUAAAAAAUGUGAUGGAUAAGGAAUUGAAAAGGAAAAAAAUUAGACAAAAUUGGAAAUUGGAUGGAACAAAUAAAGGAGAAAAACAACAUAAAGGGAAUCCUAGGUGAUUUAAAUAUAUCAUGGCUCCAUUGGGUCCAACUAGAUCAAUGGUUCCAAAAUUGGCAAAGAAAGAGCUUAGGGGAAAGAGAACCAACAAAAUUUGAAAAUAUAAUAUUAAAAGAACAGACUAAAGAAGAAAAUGAGAAUCCGAAAGGGAUAACCAGUAUGAUAUAUAAAAUAUUAAUAGAGAUUAAAGGUGGGAGGAAAGGCAUAUUAACAAGGGAAAUAUGGGAGGAAGAACUGGGACUAAAAGUAGGAGAAAGAAAUUGGGAAAAAAUUAUGGAAAGCAAGACAUCUCAAAAAUGUAUCAAUUAGAAUAAUAGAAAACUAUUACAAGAUAAUAUGGAAAUGGUAUUUGACCCCAACAAAGAUACAUAAUAUGGAUAAGAGCUGCUCAGUAAAAUGUUAGAGGGGUUGUCAAGAAAAGGAGACAUAUAUUCAUAUGUGUUGGGAAUGUAAAUAUGAACAGAGGUUUUGGGGAAAAGUCAUAGUAGAAAUAGAAAGUAUCAUGAAGAAAAAAAAUCAAUACAAACCCAGCUACUAUACUAUUAUCUAUAUAUAAUACAGAUGAAUGGAAAGAAAAUGAAAAGAAUUUGAUAACAAUGUUGUUAAUGGCUGCAAGGUAAUUAAUAACAAGAAAUUGGAAAUUAGAGGUGGAAAUUAAAAUAGAAGAAUGGUACAAGAAAAUUUGGAAACUAGCAAUAAAUGAUAAAUUAACAUGCAAUGUAAAUGUUUAAAAAGGCCUAAGGAAGAAAAAUGAUUUUGAAAGUAUAUGGAAGAAAUUUAUCGAAGAAACAUUAAGGAGAAAAGAUUGGAACCAACCCCCAUCAGAAGAAAUCAAGUUCUGGUUGGACUAUAAAGAAAUGGAUUCUGGUGAUGGGGAGCGCAACGGGUAGCACACUGGGGGAAGGAAAAGAAUUAAUUAUAUGAAUUGUAAAGUUCUUCCUUUCCUUUGUAACAUAAUGAAUAGAAAUGUAAUAAAAUUUAUUUUAAAAAAGAAAGAAAAUGCUGCUAGAACACAGCAUACAGCCCGGAAAUUACAAAACCCUCCAGUAAUAAUGUAUUUCUUUCUAUCUUUCAAGCAUUUCCUUUUACGUUACAAAAGCCCUUCUGACCACUGGAUUGGUCUCCGAAGAGAUAAUCCAGAUCAGCCCUGGAUCAGUGGCAGGGCCGGCCCAAGGCUCUUCAGGCUUCGUAUGGAAGAGGGGAAAAGAUGUGCAUAUUUGAACCAUAUUACUGUUAGUAGUUCGAGCUGCACAAGAGAGGGACCCUGGAUCUGUAGCAAAGAGAUGACUAAAGACAUUACCUGGAUCGCAAAAGCCAAGACCUGAUUCCUGCUCUGCUUUUUCAAAAGGUUUCAUUCUGAUGAGCAGAAAAGAAUGCCAACAAUGUCAAAUAAAAGAAAACAUGUGAAGAAUUCAUACCUCAGUAUGGUGGUUAAAAUUGGAUGAGAUGAAUCAAACUGCACCUGAAAUCAAACAGCAGAUCAAGCAAAUGGAAAUCUUACUAGAAAUUGUCCAAGAAAUCAACAGAUAUGAAAAAAAAUCAUGGAAAUAAAAAGGACUGAACUUAGAACAUGAAAUAAAAUUAAAUAAAGAUCUUCAUGGACACUUUGAGACAGCAAAAUCUAAACAUAUCAAUACAGCUAUGACCAAACCAAGGAAGUAAGUGCAGAAUUAUCUCCAAGGCUGUGCAGACAUGAAAAAGGCUACUAAACCGAUUCUCAUAUCUUCAAGCUUUAUUGAAAUAGACAAAUUUUACAUAAAUUGUGUAAGAUCCUAUUUAGAUGGGAGAAACAUAUUAAAUUUAAAAAUAAACUUUUUCAUAAAUGCAUAGGCUUUGUGAAACAAGAAUACUGACAAAGGACUGGAAUAAAUGAAUUACAUUUGGAAAAAUAAAAAUGAUGCUCUUUUAUAUGAUAGAAUUGUGAAAUAAGAGGAACACUGAGAACUGGCUCCUCUUAUUUCUGACUGGAAUAAAAGAAUGAUUUUAUGCAGAAAAAUGUAGUUGAUGAAGGAAAAGACUGAAAUUUAAAGUAAUAUGCUAUAUGAGAUAAAAUAAGGUUAAUUUACUUUACAAGGGGAGGAUUGGGGAAAUAUUGAGAUAAUGAAUUAAAAACAGGAUUGUCAGAAUUGUACAGUGCCAUUCACCUGGGAUGGAAUUUCACUGAAAUGGUUACAAUUUUAUGUUAAAUACUACCUGUGUGAUAUGUAUUCAUUCUAAAUAUAUCUGCUUUUCUUUUAGAAGAAACUUGGAUGCAAAUAAGCAGUAAAAGUACAAUAAAACAGUACAAUAUUUGCUUUUGCUUGUGGAGGUGGGGAGCCACUGCCAGUUGUGUUUUUAAUUGAAGGAAGAGGGAGUGUCUGCUUGUUUCAGAAAGUAUGGGUGGAGGUGGAAAUGGGGAGGAAAUUAUGUAGCUAUUUUUAUGUUUGAUUUUUCUUUUAAUUGCCUUCUUAAUGUCUGUUUAGCUUUUUUGAUGCAUUAUUGAACAAUUUAAUAAAAAAAUAUUCUACAAAAAUAGAAA